UAAACUAGGAUUAGAUACCCUAUUAUUCUAAAUUAAAAAUAAAUAUAUUAAAUAUUAAAUGUAAAACAUUAAAUUUAAAUAAUUUGGCGGUAUUUUAGAAGGUUAGAGGAAUCUGUUAAAUAAAUGAUAUUCCACGAUAGGAAGGUCCUAAUAUAUUUUUAUAUAUUGUUGUAUUAAUAUUAAUUUAGAAGAAUUUAAUAGAGAUUCAUGAUAUUGGAUAAAUUCAAAUCAAAAUGUAGAAUUAUUAGGUUUAAAUGGAUUACAAUUUAUAAAAUAAAUUGGAGUUUAAUUUUUAAAUAAUUAAAUAAAAGAGGAUUUAAUAGUAAAUUUAUAAAAUUUUAUAGUUUGAAUUAAAUAUAAAAUAUGUACAAAUUGCCCGUCAUUUUCAUAA
rnacentral:rRNA from 1 species